UAGGGUUUAUUAGCAUCUCUCUUUCCGCCCCUCCUCUCCUGCCGCGCCCGCCACCACAGCGCAGAACACGCACCCGCCUCGCCACCGCAAUGGCCGCCGCCGCCGCGAGAUCCUUCCUCCGAUCCAGCGCCCCCUCGUCCCUCCGCAGCGCGGCGGCCAAAGCAGCCUCGCGUGCCGGGCCGGCUCCGCUGCCGAGGCGCCUGCCUACCUCUGCUCCCCGCGUCCUCCUAAGGUCGCCGGUGGAGAUGAGCAGCGUGUGCCUGGAGUCGUUGAUGCCCAUGCACAGCGCCACGGCUUCGGCUCUCAUGACCUCGCUCCUCGCCGCCCCGGCUUGCAAGGGAUUCGGUUGGCUCUCCGAAGGUCAAGAUGAAACUAGAUGAACUUCAGGCCCCAAAAGCUGGCAAUGAUGAUGUGUGACAGUAUCUAGGUGGAACGUAGCAGAUUAUAAUCCCGUCACCUCAAAUCCACAGGCCUGUGAUUAGUGCGAUGGAGGUCAUCUUGGAUGAAGUCUAGCCCAUGCUAUUUGUUCUUGCCGUCUUUGUCACCUUAUUUUUAUCCAAUGACAAAUGAAAUUCAUGGGCAUAGAGCAAAAAUAGCCUUUUAUUGCUGUUAGCUUUCUUGAUGUCAACUAAGAGCUCGAGCUCAGAUUAUUGUGUUUCUAUUUGUAGAUGGAUAAUUUGUCAUUGUUGGAGCCUGCUGUGAUUGGUAGCUGGUCUGGACAAUGGAAUACUUCCUCGUGGAAGUAUUUCUUGGUUGGCGUCUCAGUUGACAUGUUUUGUGUUCUGGGAUUCCGGUUUGUACAAGUGUUUAUGGGAUUAUACAUGAGAUUCACUGGUGGUUAUGUAGUCGAUUUUGAUCUUCAUGAAUCAUGACCUGCUUGGUUAGGUUGAUUUGGAAUGAAUGAAUUCGAUCAAAA